UUCCUGUAACAUACAGUGUAGUAGUUGUACUCUGUCCAGUUCCAAUACUGUUGGUGGCAACACAUGUGUAAACCCCAGCAUCACUUUGGUCUGCAUUAAAUAUGGUUAGAGAUGGUGUGCUGGUCGUACUGCCACUGUAUUUGUUGGUGUUGGUUGUGGAUCUGAUUUGUGUUGUGCUACCACCAACGUUUCUUAGCCAGUAAACAUUAUUGACAGUAAGUGAAGAUGUCACAGUACACACCAAGGUUAAAGAGCUACCAGUGGUAACUGAAUAGGAUGGUUGUGGUACAGCAACAGUGGGUACAGCUU
rnacentral:lncRNA from 1 species